rnacentral:other from 1 species
CAACUUCUGGGAUAUGCGACGGUCUGCUUUUUGAACCUACAGUUGGAAGCAGGGAGAUCUAGAUUAAACGAUGGAUACCAAGCCUCGCCAAGACAGAGGAAGGUAGAAGUGUUUAUGCGAUCACCCACCUAUCGAAGGAUAGGUGUCAAAAAACAGACUACGGUAUUCUGGUUGCUGC